CUGCGAGUUCGCGGGAGAGUAAGUUGUUGCCAGGGUUUUUAUUUUAUACUUUAAACAUUGAUUUUAUUUUUUAUGUUUUUAGAUGUUCAUGUUUUUGAAUGUUUUAUUUAAAUAAUAUAAAAAAUAAAAUAUAUAUUGACAUGGAUUAAACAAAGAUAUAUAUUAUUCUAUGUUGCAUAAACAAAUUGGCAAAAUAGAGAUGGAAGAUAAAAAUAUGGUCAAAGUAAUAAGAGUCUAUGGUGAAUGCCUAGGA
rnacentral:misc_RNA from 1 species